CAGUGUUGGUGACCAGUGCUUAUCUUCUUGGACAUAUACAUUUAUCUACCAUUCUACCUACCUAUCUAUUCUUCAUAAAACAUUUAACAUCAACCUUGUAUAGAGUCAUGGUGUGGAGCCUAGAAGCCGGAGGGGAAUAUUUUCUCAAUCUGGAAAUGUCUUUAGUCCUUUUGUGAUCAGAAGCAGUCUCAUUUUUUUUUUUUUUUGGCUCUUUCCAUUUCACAAGGAGCAAAUCCUCAGGACUAAAUAUGUGGGAGUCACAGUGGUGUUACUGAAUUUUGUCUCUUAGGCUUCCCUGGCUCCCAGUAAGUAUGCCAUUUGUUACCUUCUUCC
rnacentral:lncRNA from 1 species